rnacentral:rRNA from 1 species
CCUACGGGAGGCAGCAGUGAGGAAUAUUGGUCAAUGGGCGAGAGCCUGAACCAGCCAAGUCGCGUGAAGGAUGAAGGUUCUAUGGAUUGUAAACUUCUUUUGUCCGAGGGUAAAAAAGGCUACGUGUAGCUUCUUGCAAGUAUCGGACGAAUAAGCAUCGGCUAACUCCGUGCCAGCAGCCGCGGUAAU